ACCGUUCUUCCCAAAUCCACCUCUUUUCUCCAUCAAAAUUCUUCUUCACUCUCUUGUGAUCCCUCCUCCACUCUUUCACUUGUUCCUCCAAGUCUCCUUGCCCUGCUAUUGAAGUGAAUAUGGCUCCGAAGAUGAAGCUUCCCCAAAGAAGAAAGUCAAUCCGUGAGCCUGAAGAAAUUGUCCGAAAGAAAAGGCAAACUGGUCAG
rnacentral:lncRNA from 1 species